GACGAACGCUGGCGGCGUGCUUAACACAUGCAAGUCGAGCGGAGCGGCGAACGGGUGAGUAACGCGUGAGUAACUGCCCCCCUCUCUGGGAUAACAGUUGGAAACGGCUGCUAAUACCGGAUAGUGGGGGAUGACUCGCGUCCUAUCAGCGUGUUGGGGGGGUAGGGGCCUACCAAGGCGACGACGGGUAGCCGGCCUGAGAGGGCGACCGGCCACAUUGGGCUGAGAUCGGGCCCAAACUACAACGGGGUGCAGAAGGGGGGAAUAUUGCACAAGGGUGGAGACCCUUGUGCAGCAACGCCGCGUGCGGAAUGACGGCCUUCCGGUUGUAAACCGCUGUCAGCCAUGACGCGGUAGUGGCAGAAGAAGCACCGGCUAACUACGUGCCAGCAGCCGCGGUAAUAC
rnacentral:rRNA from 1 species